rnacentral:rRNA from 1 species
AAUGAACGCUGGCGGCAUGCCUAACACAUGCAAGUCGAACGAAGGCUUCGGCCUUAGUGGCGCACGGGUGCGUAACGCGUGGGAAUCUGCCCUUGGGUUCGGAAUAACAGUUAGAAAUGACUGCUAAUACCGGAUGAUGUCGUAAGACCAAAGAUUUAUAGCACAAGGAUGAGCCCGCGUAGCAUUAGCUAGUUGGUGGGGUAAAGGACUACCAAGGCGCCGAUCCUUAGGUGGUAUGAGAGGAUGAUCAGCCACACUGGGACUGAGACACGGCCGCGACUCCUGGGGGAGGACACAGUAGGGAAUCUUACGCGAUGGGGGAAAGCCUGACGGAGGAAAGCGGCGUGAGUGAUGAAGGUGCUCGGAUCGUAAAGCUAUGUUAUUCGGGAAGAACAAAAGUGUAAGUAACCAUGAACGUAUUGACGGUACCUAAUCAGAAAGCCACGGCUAACUACGUG